UACGUAGGGUCCGAGCGUUGUCCGGAAUUACUGGGCGUAAAGAGCUCGUAGGUGGUUUGUCGCGUUGUCCGUGAAAACUCACAGCUCAACUGUGGGCGUGCGGGCGAUACGGGCAGACUGGAGUACUGCAGGGGAGACUGGAAUUCCUGGUGUAGCGGUGGAAUGCGCAGAUAUCAGGAGGAACACCGGUGGCGAGGGCGGGUCUCUGGGCCGAUACUGACGCUGAGGAGCGAAAGCGUGGGGAGCGAACAGG
rnacentral:rRNA from 1 species